AUUUUUUAAAGGGGGGAGGGAGGGGCAAAGUAUUGUGAAAUUGUAAAUUGAAUACAAAGUUCAUAUACACAUGCUGAAUGAAUAGAGAAAUAAUUAUGCUUCUCAUUUUUCAAGGGGUG